GUCACAUUUGCUCUUUUACUCUGUUGACACCCUUCAGUUUAGAGGUGAGAAACCGAGACCCAGAGAGGGCAGUGAUUCCACAAAGCAGCUCAGCAGGCCACCAUCUCCGUUAGGGAGGGCCACUCAGGGUCCCAGCCACACCUCUGCCACCUCGGACUGGCUGUGAGACUGUGGCCUGGUCUGUCCCCUCUCUGGGCUUCGGUUUCCCCCUUGGUGAACCAGGAAGAAAGGCCAGUCAUCCCUCUGCCUCCAGCUCCAUCUGACCGGUGAAAGGUGUUCUGACCAAGCCCCAUGGUUUGUUCUGGGAGAUUUUUGGGGGUUGCAAUUGCCGAGGUGAUUCAAGGAUCUAAGCAGGCUGGGAAGAUGUGCAAUGGGUCAUGAGAACUGCCUUCCAGGAACCCAGAAGCUUGAGAACUUGCAGCCUCAAAGCAGCCACAUCUACCACUUAUAGCACUUAGGAAGGUGUUACCCAGAUGCUAACUUGGAUGGGGAACAUUGAGGCUCAGAGGAGGGCCCUGACCUGUUCAGCAUCACAGAGCCAGUGAGAGGCAGACCCAGGACUGGAACCAGUUUCUCCUGAUCCUCAGACUGGGUGCAGACGAAGGAGCAGGUACAGACAGAACCUGGAACACGUGUGUCCAAGGAUGCAGAAGAUAAGCAAACCAAGGCUAAGGGAGGCAAACUGACUGGC